UACGGAGGGUGCAAGCGUUAUCCGGAUUUACUGGGUUUAAAGGGUGCGUAGGUGGGGCGUUAAGUCAGUGGUGAAAUCCUGCAGCUUAACUGUAGAAUCGCCAUUGAUACUGUCGCUCUUGAGUACGCUUGACGUGGGCGGAAUGUGCCGUGUAGCGGUGAAAUGCUUAGAUAUGGCACAGAACACCGAUAGUGAAGACAGCUCACGAAGGCGAAACUGACACUGAGGCACGAAAGCGUGGGGAUUGAACAGG
rnacentral:rRNA from 1 species